ACCAAAUCACGUACGAUCACCAAAGUUAAGCAACAUUGAGCCUGGUCAGUACCUAGAUGGGUAAUCACUUGGGAAUACCAGCUACUGUAU